ACUCCUACGGGAGGCAGCAGUGGGGAAUCUUGCGCAAUGGGCGGAAGCCUGACGCAGCAACGCCGCGUGAGGGAUGACGGCCUUCGGGUUGUAAACCUCUUUCGCGAUCGACGAAGGUCAUGCUUUUGGCAUGGCUGACGGUAGGUCGAGAAGAAGCACCGGCCAACUACGUGCCAGCAGCCGCGGUAAUACGUAGGGUGCGAGCGUUGUCCGGAAUUAUUGGGCGUAAAGAGCUCGUAGGCGGUGUGUCGCGUCGGCCGUGAAACCUGGGGCUUAACUCUGGGCGUGCGGUCGAUACGGGCAUCACUAGAGUUCGGCAGGGGAGACUGGAAUUCCUGGUGUAGCGGUGAAAUGCGCAGAUAUCAGGAGGAACACCGGUGGCGAAGGCGGGUCUCUGGGCCCGAUACUGACGCUGAGGAGCGAAAGCAUGGGUAGCGAACAGGAUUAGAUACCCUGUAGGCUCUG
rnacentral:rRNA from 1 species